AACAGACACCUGUUUAGCUCGCCAGUGCCAGGAUGGAGGCAAAGCACUUCAGCAGGUAUGUAACUUCAAUAACAUAAAGAGUCCCAUUAACUUCAACGGAACCGUUCACUUGUUCAGAGUUAAGCACACAUUAAAUCAGGAGUUCUCAAACUGGGAAUUGGGACCCCUCAGGGAUUCAUGAGGUUAUUACAUCGGGGGGUUGUGAGCUGUCAACCUCCACCCCAAACCCCACUUGCCUCCAGUAUUUAUAAUGGUGUUAAAUAUAUUAAAAAGUGUGUUUAAUUUAUUUGUAGGGUCACACUCAGAGUUUUGCUGUGUGAAAGGGGUCGCCAGUAAAAAAUGUUUGAGACCCACUGCAUUAAAUGCUUUGUUGAAAUGGGAUCCAAAUCACCUUACUGAAAAUAAAGUAAUAGUAAUUCUUAGCACUUUACCUGUCUUAAGCACUCCACAAGCAUUGAUUAGUUAAUCCAUCCCUCACAAUACCCCUGUGAAGUAAGCAUGUAAGUAUUGUUAGCCUGUUUUGCAGACACGGAAACUGAGGCAAAGUUUUUCCGCAAGGCCUGCAAGCCAGUAUCAAAACCAGAGAUUUGAACUCAUGACUUCCUAACCUCUUAACCAUGUGCUGAGUCCUCCAGACACCCAAACAGCAUUAGACUGGAGCACAGGCGACAUAUGGCAGAUGACUAGUAAGUGGGAUUUUUUUUUAUACUAUUUGCAGCAGUUUUGCAAACAGCAGCAAAAAAAAAUUACAAUUUCACUGACUACUGCCAUCUGGUACUGUUAAUUUAGCCCCAAUCAAAAUAGACAGGCAGAUAGAUAGGCUAGUUCAGUUUUAUCUCACUGUAAAGUCUAGAUUAUAGUAGGCCCACAAGCAGUAUGUCCAUACACCUUCUUUUAAUGACUCAGCUGUGGACUGCAUUGUACUGCCUUCCAACCUACCUCUUCCAAAUAAACGCUCCAGUUUUAUAAUAUAAAAUAAAAUUUUGCAUUGUGCACGUAAAAAUCAAACUGCAAAUAUAUAAAAUUUCCCAGGACAUCUUUUAUCCAUCUGCUGACAAUAUAGAUGGUUAUCCAAGUCUGUUCUCUAAUCAGAUUUUUGCCAUAUAAUGAACGAAGCAAAAGAUUUGUGGUGUUGCAAUUUAAAAUCUGUGAAUUUGAAUGAAAUAUAAACUCAAAGCACUAAUGGUCAAAUUAUUUUCUGAGGCCCCAAUUUAGAAAAGCACUUAAGCCAUGCUAAUGUUAAGCAUGUGCUUAAAUCCUGGAGAUUUCAAUGAGACUUAAAGGUAUGCUUAAAAUUAAGGCAUGUGCUUAAGUGUUUUGCUAAUAAGAAUGGAUUUAAGCAGAUGGUUAAGUGCUUUGCUUAAUCAGGGACUCACAAUUGCAUGCAGUGCUCAGUGACUUCAAUGGGAGCUGUGUGCAAAUGUCUGAGAACACAAUUUGGCUUUUAAUCACCUAAUUACUACAAGAAUUUUAGCCAAGAACUGGUUCAUAUAGAUUGCUUGAUAAGUUAUGCAGUAAAGGUGAGACUGUCAGAAGUGCCUUUAGCAUUUGCCUAACUCUACUCACAAUCCACAGAAAACUUUGCAUUGACUUCAAUGGGAGCAGAAAGAGUAUUUUUGAAAAUCCCACCCUAUCAGGACCUGCAUUGAAGUAAAAUACAAAACUCUCACUGACCCAGUGCUGCUGGCUCAAUCUAAAUGAGAAAUAAAAGAUCAGCACAGAUGGCUGAGUUAUGGAGCUGCUUCUCCAAAUCGGUGAAUAAAGACAGUGGGGUUGAACUUACUAAAGGGGAAACUCUAUAUCCUAAUGAAGAGGACAGCGAAGAAGUUGGUCAAGUACAGGUUUGGGAACCCUGCAUAAAGAUGCAAGAUAUUUACCACCGUGUCAUUUUGGUACAUUCAUUUUGCUGACUCCAGUCAGGAUACAAGAGGAGCUAAGACAGGGAGGGAAGGAAAUAGCAACUGGGACAGAUAAAGUUCUAAAGUUCAGAAUAUUGGAUCCAUCCCCAAGCAGCCCCAGAUGGAAUACCAAGAAAAAAGAAAAAGACGACUGCUUUCUUGUGACUUUUUUCCUUAUGUGCCCAAUUGUCUUUUGUUGGGUAUGGAAACAAGAUGUAUUAAAAACUGUGCCAGGAGAAGGAGAACGAAAGGCUCACACCGCCUCCUCCUCCCCAUAUAAAUCCUGCAUUUGAUGAGGUGCACAGCCCAGUGCCAUAAACACUUGCCUCAAAAUGGUAGCAAGGAUAAGUAUCUGCUUAAGUGUGUUGCUGGAUUGGGGCUUUUGCUUGCAAGUUUUUCUUCUCUGACAUUCCUACUACGCAGGCCCUGGCCACCUCCUGAUUAGGUAUCAAAUGAAUACUUUCUCCAGAUGGUUUCCAGAUAGAGCUGAUUUUUUUGAAAAAAAAACUAAAUGGAAUUUUUUUAAAAUAGAAAAUGCCUUUUUGAUUAAAUAGCAAUUUUCAUGAAAGAUUCUGUUUUGGUCAAAAAAAUUCAGGUCUUAACCAAAGAAGUUUUGUUUGUGAGUUUUGGAUUUAAACCCAAAAACUUCCAGAGAAAAAUUCAACAAAAAUGAAUAUGUUUUCAUUGUGAUGGAGAUUUUUUGUGGGACGGGAAAAAAUUCAUUGACCAGUUCUAUUUCUAGCUACCUAAGAGGCUUGGAAAACUACUUGCAUAUCAGUUUCCUCCACUAAAUCUGUCUGAAGAACUGCAAUUGAAAAAAACCCUUUAAUAGCCAUCUUUUCAUUGAAAGUAGAUCUGAAGCAGGUAAUUCCAUCUCAGAGAAGACUCUUGAAGGGGUCCAUCUACAGGGAUUCAACUUAGGAUAUCUGGAUCUAAAAGCAUGAGCCUUUCCUACCCAUAAACCUUAGUAAGUAGUCUAGCAGCCACACUUCAUUAUCAUGGAUACAACAACUGGCUUGAUUUUGAGAGACUCUCACAAAUUCCCAGAAACAAUCCCAAGCAUCAAUUUAAUUUCAGAUCACACUUUUAAAAUCAUUUCCUGUUCUACAAGAUCUGAAAUUAUUGGUAGCCUAACUUCUAUUCUGUAACUAAAAGAGCAUUUUUUUUAAAUGACCAAUUUUUGACCUAAUUGGCUUGUAGGAUCUUUCUCUUCUCGUGGCUGAGCUGAAGCACAACAGAAGAUUAAUUGAAACUUUUGCCUCCAUUCGCACUGUACCACACUUUGUCAGCUCUGCAAGCAGCCAUAGUUCUGACAGAGCUUUCAUGCUUGUCUCGUUCUCCUCCCUUUCAAUGGUCAGGGCCUGUUGCUCUUCACACUGACUGUGACCCCAAGCGCUCAGCUGCUCCCUAGCUCUCUCGUGGUAUGUCUCCACUGUGAUCAAGAACCUGUGGUACCAAGUUUCAGAGCCUGGGUCAGCUGACUUGGGCUCAUGGGGCUUGGGCUGUAGUUUAAAAAUGUCAGUGUAGACGUUCAGGUUCGGGCUGGAGCCUGACCCCUCUGAGCCCGAGUCAGCUGACAUGGCUUACUGCAGUGUAAAUAUACUCUUAAUAACCUCUUUCCUGGGACUGGAAGAGCCACCUAAUGUGGCAACUCCUGUUCUGUUCAAGUAAGCCACUCAGACCCACAUGCCCCACCUAAUUUCCCCUUUCCCUGGAUGAGCUGGCGACUGGAUUUUUAGGGCUCCUGCCCUAGGUAUUAUAGUUUCUCAGUACGUCACCAGCACAAUCUCUUUUUUCCCCUCUACUCCAGAAUGAAUGAAUGAAUGAAUGGGUUAAUCAACAGGAACUGCCCUAGUAGAUAGAAAGAAGAUAGGAAAGGAGAAAAAUAAGGCUCAUGAGUGCUGAAGCUGUAUGGAAAGAAAUGUUAAACCAAGCGCUGCCCUCCAUCAUAGAGUUUAAUCCUAUGAGGAACUGAGUUCCUCUGGAUAGGUGCUACGGGCCCUCAGCUCCCAUUGAAGUUGAUAUGCUCCUCUCAGGAUCAGAUCCUUAUAGAGGUGGUGUGGAAAUAUCAGAAUCUGUAGUAAUCUAAGCAGUGCUUGCUCCUCUUGAACAUCUUGCUAGGUGCAAAUGCUCUGAGCUGCUCAAUGAGAUACUGCUUUGUACCACUGCAUACAAAUGCCACAUGAACCCCUGUGCUGCUGCAGCACUUGGCAAGAGGAAAAGGAACUUUUCUGGACAGCUGCCAAGUGGAAGAAAAGCAAGCGCGCGCGCACACACACAGAGAGCGUGUGGUUUUUGUAAGUAGAAUUGAAAGUAGUCAUUUUAUAAUGACUUUGUUCUUGAUCAGAUCAUACACACACUUACGAACAGCAGUCUCCCUUAAUCUAUUAACCCCUGGAGCACCACAGCUGAUGCACAUUCUGUCUCCACUAAUUGUUGUGGAAUACCUACUGUGCUUCAUGAAAACGUUUAAGGAAUCUGAGACGUACGGCAUGUUACCUUUGUUGCUUGGUUGACCACUCACUGACACUCAUGGAGCAGUGAAGAGAUUAAUAAUUAGUCCAAACCUGUCCCCACACCAACACAAACGGAGAGGUGUAAUGAAUAUUGUUAAUGGUUUUUCAUUUCAGCAACAUGUCAUCUGCAAGCAGACAUGGUUUGUAAAUUACACUAGUAUUGAAUUCUCUGCAAGUACUUACUCACUCCUUAGUCUGGCAACAUUCCCACUGAAGUAAAGUCCUAGUGUAAACAGAAUAAGCACUACAGUAUUUGGUCAAAUGUUUAGAGGUAGAGCUUUUUGAAAAUGGGUAGUUUGCUGCUGGCUGGAAUCUUAGUAAAAGCGGUUAGGACACAAUGCAUUUGAAAAUGAUCUGCAUUACAGUCUUUUUUAAUUUGUUGUUGUUGUUGUUAAAAAUAAAAAUGGAGGCUAAGUUAGAAGUGAAUCUGAUCUCAGGGAGACUGAUCAGAAAUCUGUGACAUUCCCAAAGAGGCAAAAAUAUAAACAAACCCCCCUGUAAUUCUAGACCUGGGGAAAUACAUUUCUUUGAUCUUAUAAUGAGAGAGCUGAAGGACAAAUGCCAAGAAAAAUGAAAUAGGAGCCUGUGCCUUUAAACACAACCACGUUAUAGCAUUGUGUCUAUUUGUUUAACACACACACAGAAGACCUUAUUCUUUGCCAACACUAUUCUCAACUGCUGACUUCUACUGAAUAAAUGCUGGAAUUCCUGAAAGACUGCUGCACCAAUAUAAUUUUCCAAUCUCCCUUUCUAUUCCCCAGUGCUAAUAGCAAGGAGGAACUUUAUUGCUGAGCAUGGCAAUUUCUGUUCCUUUUUCACUUUUUUUUUAGGCCCAAGUUAAUUACCAAGACUAUGAAAAGAAAAAAAUGAGACCCAUUCUACCCAUCAGUAUAUCUGAAUCCUAUCAUGUGAGUUGCCAAUUGGUUUUCUAAUCCUCACACUCAAUAUCUGCUGUUAAUUUGCUCGCUAUUUCAAGAACUCGAAGACUGUCAGCAAAAUCCACGAUGCAUUACAAAACUUGUAAUUGGAAAAAAAUCUGAUGCUUUUUUGACAGGGUAAACACAAAGUAUUAAAGCACUGAUCAGAACAAGGAAGCUGUAACAACCCAAUAGCUAUUUGUACUAAAAUAUAAUUGUAAAUGCAGUGGAGAAAUAAACAUGUUCCAUUUCAACUCUUAUUACUGAAAUACGUGCAGAAUUAGGCCAAAUAAUGGUGUGAAUCCAGCAAUUUUACACCAAAUUUAAACACACACACGCACAAAAAAUAUUGUAUUUUAAAGGAGCUGACUGAACUGUGUGGUGUUGUUUUUCAACCUCUCUUGGCCUUUUCAAGGUCACAUUAUCUAUGCCAAUUAAAAUUUUGCUUCUGAAAAAAAAAUUAAGGCACUUCCUCCAGAGUUACUAAAAAAAGCAAAUGAAAGCCUUUGCAUCUCAGAGGUGAGCUAUAGUGAGCUGUUUGUUCCUGACCUCUGGAUCACCCUAUAGAUCAAAUUCCUGGACAUAGGAAAAACCCACUAACAUUCAUUAAAAGCAACUGGGAGGCCAGCUUUGUGUUUCUGUUCUUGAGACCUGACCAAGCUACAACUUGACAAAGGUGCAGGAUAUUGCUGAACAAUGCAGCUGUUCCUGUUGGGAGUGGAAAGGAUUUUCCCAGCUCAGAUGCUGGAGAUCCACACACAAAAAAACAGAUUUACAUGCUGCACUCUUUACUGGACACCUCGGUGUCUGUGGCCUAUG